GCCCCUAACGGUCUCGUCAGUUACGUUUCUAGGCGCCGGGGAGUCGGCGCAAUUGCACUAUGCAGCGGUCCCGACGCCGACGGUCGUCCCGAAAGAUCAUGUUCCUUCCUGUAUGCUGGUGCCGGAGCUGCGCGAUCGGGGACGAAGGCGACGCAGCCAUUGGACGAGGAGGUUACGCGAGUAACCGCGGGAUAGAAUUUCUCCCAUUGGCCGGAGCGGAUAUGCGUUCUGAGGCUGAAUCGAGAUGAAAGUGUCGCAACUCUUUCCUCACACUGACUGUACGCCUCGUCGGCUGCGUGGAAUUAAAAAUGGACGACUCGGCCGCGCGCGCAUCAAGCUAAUUUCAAACGGGGUGUAGUUUUUCGAAACAGCUGAGCAACUGAAUAAUAUACGUCGGCCAAAAAUCGACGAAUCUUCGACGAACCUGCAGCCCAUUCUGGACGCGUAACGCAUAACGCCGAGUAAGCCCUUUUAUAAUCCCAAGUACCGUUUCUCUUACGCGACCGUCACACGUACAGCGUUGUCUCGAUU
rnacentral:lncRNA from 1 species